CUCUUCGGAAAUUGGUCUUUUAAAACUGGAAGCUUCUUCAGACUUGUUCUACCAGACAAGGAGCCAGCUGAGACCAGUUAGUAGUGUAGUUCUCCAUUGUGCUGGUUAUCUAGCAGCCAUUUGCACAUGAACAUGUGCUUUCACUAAUAUGAAUAGAGAGCUUUCACUCCACAGAACUCCUGCCUAUGUGGCCCUAAUAUUAAAUAUUCAGGUCUUAUAUCCUACAUUUCUUCUCUUUAUGGGUAGAUCAGUGUCACUGUUGAGGCGGGUGUGACAUACAAAUAGACACACUACAUUUCAGAAGGCUAAUAUCCUCUUUUAUUAAAACAACUGGCUGUCUUUUAUACACUCUACAGAGUUUACAUUUGUUCAUUGGUUACAAUAGAUCAACAUAACAUUCAUUGGUGUAAAACACAUCUCCACCUCUGUUUUUCAUGAGACUUUUCUAAAAAUACUUUUCCCAGCUGCAGGUUUUCUUUCCUGCUUAUCUCCUUCUCUGUCUUCUCUUCUCAGUCUCCAGGCCAACAGCCUUGAUAGAAUACCUUUCAGAAAUAAUCCUUAUUCAUUAACCCUCUCUGGCUUACAGGCCAGCUGUAAGCCUCUCUCCACAUGACACUGAGGAGA